rnacentral:sRNA from 1 species
AGAAUCGCAAGGAGAUGCAUUGCUGGAGAGACUCAAAGUUCUUUCCACAGCUGGCGGGAGGAGACUUUCAAGUAACACCGUGUUGUUGAGAGUGUUACCUGCUGUGUAUGAAAAGCAGCCUCAGCCAAUUAAUAGACACCUGACAGAACUCCUGGCCUUGAUGUCUCAGCUGGAACAGCCAGAACAGUACCAUCUACUACGGCUUUUGCAUGUAGCAGCAAAGAAAAAACAACUCGAGGUAGUUCAGAAGUGUAUUCCUUUCCUAAUUGGGCAUUUGAAGGAUUCAACCCAUAAUGACAUCAUCUUAAACAUCCUCAUAGAGAUAGCAGGCUAUGAGCCAGUGGCUUUGAACGGUUUUCUUCCAAUGCUGAAAGAGAUUGGUGAGAGAUUCCCCUACCUCACUGGACAGAUGGCAAGGAUUUAUGGAGCUGUUGGGCAUGUGGAUGAAGAGAGAGCCAGGAGCUGCCUGACAUACCUGGUGAGCCAACUGGCCAACAUGGAGCAUUCAUUUCACCAUAUUCUCCUGCUGGAGAUUAAAAGCAUCACUGACAC